CACAACAGGAGACACAGAAAUCCUCCUCAUCAAAACCAUGACUUCGAUCUGCGUCCUCAUCUGGACUCUCCUCUGCUGCUGCUUCACAGAGGUCAGAGGUCAGGUCACAGUGACUCAGCAGCCUGAAGCAGUGAGAGCUGGACUGGGAGGAUCUGUCACCAUCAACUGUAGAAUGAGUCAAAAUGUUCAUGUUCACCUCAGCUCCUUCCCUUGUUUAGCCUGGUAUCAACAGAAAGAUGGACAAACUCCUAAGCUUCUCAUUUAUUUUUCUAGCACUAAAGCAUCAGGGACUCCAAGUCGUUUUUCAGGCAGUGGAUCAAACUCUGACUUCACUCUGACCAUCAGUGGAGUUCAGGCUGAAGAUGCUGCAGUUUACUACUGUCAGAGUUACCACAACGUCAACAAUCAGUGGGUGUUCCCACAGUGAAAAUGUCUCGUACAAAAACCUCCCAGUCAAACUGAACAGGAACUGAAAUGACUGAAAAAGCUGCAAUAGCAACUAACUGCAAAUACAAGCAGACUUUUUAUGUAGCAGAUUAUGCUUUUUAAAUUUACUUAAAACAUCAACUUCAAUUUUAACUGAGUCCUCAUCUAGACUCUUAGUCUUUUCCAUAACAGUGAUAAUGUAGGUUAUGU